AGCACCACUACAGGCACCGAGAGGACAUAACAUCAGAGAGCGGCUCCUCUGCCCUCCAAAACAACAACUUUCCUACCAUCUUGGAGACACAUUCCUGUUCCUUGGCAGGCUGUACAGGCAGGAGUGCACAGGAGCAGGCGAGAUGAAGGUUACUGCAGCUGAAGGUAACUGGCGAUGCACCCGCUGAGAAGUUCUGCCAGUCGGCCACCAGGUGGAACCAGGGCUGCACUCGGGGAAUUGCAGGAAUUGCAUCUCCUCCGGGGCUGGGCUCAGCUCCAAAACAAAGCCUGACAAAGCCCCUGCCCACUCCAGCACAGAUAAAGGCACCCACCGGCCUUACACGUGGAGUGAGCUGCAUCAGCACACUGGCGGCUCAGGCAGUGUGAUCACCUGACUGGUCAGCCCUUACCUUAACCACCAAGAACAAUACUCAGAGCGUGUUUAUCUCCCACCAUCCCAGCUCUUUAUCGCUGCUUUUUCGUAAUUCUCUAAUCUGAGGUUGCAGCUUCAGAACCGGCAAAUAGGAGCACUAGCUGUAAACUUUUUCUCUUAAAUAAACAGAAGUAAGUUGCGUGAAUA